GCGUUGUUCGGAAUGACUGGGCGUAAAGCGCGCGUAGGCGGAUCAGGAAGUUGGGGGUGAAAUCCCGGGGCUCAACCCCGGAAUGGCCUUCAAAACUCCUGGUCUUGAGUUCGAGAGAGGUGAGUGGAAUUCCGAGUGUAGAGGUGAAAUUCGUAGAUAUUCGGAGGAAUACCAGUGGCGAAGGCGGCUCACUGGCUCGACACUGACGCUGAGGUGCGAAAGCGUG
rnacentral:rRNA from 1 species